CCUCCAGCUCAGAUCGGAGUGAAGGGAUACAGGAAGCACGGAAAUGAGUGGCAUCAUGGUUGAUGUGAGGCCAUUUCUCAACUGGUUCUGGUUUCUGCAAAAAUACACUGAAAUUUGAAGAAAUAUCGUCUUUUCCUUAAAAAAAUAAA
ensembl:ncRNA K07C11.13 ncRNA